UUGUACGAGAAGAGUUCGCAAGAGCGUGAUGAGAGGGUCCUGCGGCCCAUCAGCUAGUUGGUAGGGUAGUGGCCUACCAAGGCAACGACGGGUAGGGGGUCUGAGAGGACGAUCCCCCACACUGGAACUGAAACACGGUCCAGACGCCUACGGGUGGCAGCAGGGAGGAAUAUUGGGCAAUGGACGAAAGUCUGACCCAGCAACGCCGCGUGAAGGAUGAAGGCCUUCGGGUUGUAAACUUCUUUUGAGGGAGAAGAGAAAGGACGGUAUCCCUCGAAUAAGCCACGGCUAACUACGUGCCAGCAGCCGCGGUAAAACGUAGGUGGCGAGCGUUAUCCGGAUUCAUUGGGCGUAAAGAGCUUGUAGGUGGCCGAAUAAGUUGGACGUGAAAACUCCGGGCUUAACUUGGAGAGGCCGUUCAAUACUGUUAGGCUAGAGGAUGUCAGAGGGAAGUAGAAUUCCUGGUGUAGCAGUGAAAUGCGUAGAUAUCAGGAGGAAUACCCGUGGCGAAGGCGGCUUCCUGGGACAUAACUGACACUGAGAAGCGAAAGCUAGGGGAGCAAACGGGAUUAGAAACCCCGGUAGUCCUAGCUGUAAACGAUGGAUGCUAGGUGUAAUCAGAACUAACCCUGGUUGUGCCGAAGCUAACGCGUUAAGCAUCCCGCCUGGGAACUACGAGCGCAAGCUUAAAACUUAAAGGAAUUGACGG
rnacentral:rRNA from 1 species